UACGUAGGGUGCGAGCGUUGUCCGGAAUUAUUGGGCGUAAAGAGCUCGUAGGCGGUCUGUCGCGUCUGCUGUGAAAACUCAGGGCUUAACCCUGAGCUUGCAGUGGGUGCGGGCAGACUAGAGUGCGGUAGGGGAGACUGGAAUUCCUGGUGUAGCGGUGAAAUGCGCAGAUAUCAGGAGGAACACCGGUGGCGAAGGCGGAUCUCUGGGCCUUACCUGACGCUGAGGCGCGAAAGCUAGGGGAGCAAACAGG
rnacentral:rRNA from 1 species